rnacentral:rRNA from 1 species
GAACCAGUACCGUGAGGGAAAGGCGAAAAGAACCCCGGCGAGGGGAGUGAAAAAGAACCUGAAACCGUGUACGUACAAGCAGUGGGAGCACGCUUAGGCGUGUGACUGCGUACCUUUUGUAUAAUGGGUCAGCGACUUAUAUUCUGUAGCAAGGUUAACCGAAUAGGGGAGCCGAAGGGAAACCGAGUCUUAACUGGGCGUUAAGUUGCAGGGUAUAGACCCGAAACCCGGUGAUCUAGCCAUGGGCAGGUUGAAGGUUGGGUAACACUAACUGGAGGACCGAACCGACUAAUGUUGAAAAAUUAGCGGAUGACUUGUGGCUGGGGGUGAAAGGCCAAUCAAACCGGGAGAUAGCUGGUUCUCCCCGAAAGCUAUUUAGGUAGCGCCUCGUGAAUUCAUCUCCGGGGGUAGAGCACUGUUUCGGCAAGGGGGUCAUCCCGACUUACCAACCCGAUGCAAACUGCGAAUACCGGAGAAUGUUAUCACGGGAGACACACGGCGGGUGCUAACGUCCGUCGUGAAGAGGGAAACAACCCAGACCGCCAGCUAAGGUCCCAAAGUCAUGGUUAAGUGGGAAACGAUGUGGGAAGGCCCAGACAGCCAGGAUGUUGGCUUAGAAGCAGCCAUCAUUUAAAGAAAGCGUAAUAGCUCACUGGUCGAGUCGGCCUGCGCGGAAGAUGUAACGGGGCUAAACCAUGCACCGAAGCUGCGGCAGCGACGCUUAUGCGUUGUUGGGUAGGGGAGCGUUCUGUAAGCCUGCGAAGGUGUGCUGUGAGGCAUGCUGGAGGUAUCAGAAGUGCGAAUGCUGACAUAAGUAACGAUAAAGCGGGUGAAAAGCCCGCUCGCCGGAAGACCAAGGGUUCCUGUCCAACGUUAAUCGGGGCAGGGUGAGUCGACCCCUAAGGCGAGGCCGAAAGGCGUAGUCGAUGGGAAACAGGUUAAUAUUCCUGUACUUGGUGUUACUGCGAAGGGGGGACGGAGAAGGCUAUGUUGGCCGGGCGACGGUUGUCCCGGUUUAAGCGUGUAGGCUGGUUUUCCAGGCAAAUCCGGAAAAUCAAGGCUGAGGCGUGAUGACGAGGCACUACGGUGCUGAAGCAACAAAUGCCCUGCUUCCAGGAAAAGCCUCUAAGCAUCAGGUAACAUCAAAUCGUACCCCAAACCGACACAGGUGGUCAGGUAGAGAAUACCAAGGCGCUUGAGAGAACUCGGGUGAAGGAACUAGGCAAAAUGGUGCCGUAACU